CUGUUAUGAUGAGGGCACUUUCUAAACAAAUCAUUAAAUAUUUUCCAUGCCUCAUGAAACAUUUCCCCAUCCCUUUGAGAAAAUUCACGAAUGGAAGUUCUCAUAG